GGAUGAACGUUGGCGGCGUGCCUAAUACAUGCAAGUCGAACGAAGACUGUAGUAAUACUGUCUUAGUGGCGAACGGGUGAGUAACGCGUGGGUGACCUGCCCCGAAGUGUGGGAUAACAGUUCGAAAGGAUUGCUAAUACUGCAUAAUAUCCAAGAGAUUAGACGCUUUUGGAUUAAAGGAGUAAUUCGCUUCGGGAGGGGCCCGCGUCCCAUCAGCUAGUUGGUAAGGUAAUGGCUUACCAAGGCGAUGACGGGUAGGGGACCUGAGAGGGUGGCCCCCCACAAUGGAACUGAAACACGGUCCAUACACCUACGGGUGGCAGCAGUAGGGAAUAUUAGUAAUGGGCGAAAGCCUGAACUAGCAACGCCGCGUGUGCGAAGAAGGCCUUCGGGUCGUAAAGCACUUUUUGAGAGGAUGAGGAAGGACGGUACUCUCAGAAUAAGUCUCGGCUAACUACGUGCCAGCAGCCGCGGUAACACGUAGGAGGCAAACGUUAUCCGGAUUUACUGGGCGUAAAGCGCGUGUAGGUGGUUUGGUAAGUAGGGCGUGAAAGCUCCUGGCUCAACUGGGAGAGGACGUUCUAAACUGCCAAGCUUGAGGAUGGUAGAGGGAGGUGGAAUUCCGGGUGUAGCGGUGGAAUGCGCAGAUAUCCGGAGGAACACCAGUGGCGAAGGCGGCCUCCUGGACCACUCCUGACACUCAGACGCGAAAGCUAGGGUAGCAAACGGGAUUAGAGACCCCGGUAGUCCUAGCCCUAAACGAUGUAGACUUGGCGUCGGUGGUUUAAUCGCCAUCGGUGUCGUAGCUAACGCGAUAAGUCUACCGCCUAGGGACUACGGCCGCAAGGUUAAAACUCAAAGGAAUUGACGGGUCCCCGCACAAGCAGCGGAGCGUGUGGUUUAAUUCGAUGCUACACGAAGAACCUUACCUGGGUUUGACAUAGAGGUAGUAGGGAAGCGAAAGCGGACCGACCCUUCGGGGAGCCUCUACAGGUGUUGCAUGGCUGUCGUCAGCUCGUGUCGUGAGACGUUCGGUUAAGUCCCAUAACGAGCGCAACCCUUAUCGUUAGUUGCCAGCUGGUAAAGCAGGGGACUCUAGCGAAACUGCCACCGUAAGGUGAGAGGAAGGUGGGGAUGACGUCAAAUCAGCACGGCCCUUAUGUCCAGGGCUACACACGUGUUACAAUGGCCGGUACAGAGGGCUGCUACCUGGUGACAGGAUGCUAAUCUCGAAAACCGGUCUCAGUUCGGAUCGAAGUCUGCAACUCGACUUCGUGAAGCCGGAUUCGCUAGUAAUCGCGCAUCAGCAACGGCGCGGCGAAUACGUUCCCGGGCCU
rnacentral:rRNA from 1 species